UGGGGAAUAUUGCGCAAUGGGGGGAACCCUGACGCAGCAACGCCGCGUGAAGGAAGAAGGCCUUCGGGUUGUAAACUUCUUUGAUCGGGGACGAAGAUGACGGUACCCGAGGAACAAGCCACGGCUAACUACGUGCCAGCAGCCGCGGUAAUACGUAGGUGGCGAGCGUUGUCCGGAAUUACUGGGUGUAAAGGGCGUGUAGGCGGGGGAGCAAGUCGGAUGUGAAAUUCCUAGGCUUAACCUGGGCGCUGCAUCUGAAACUGUUUCUCUUGAGUACUGGAGAGGAAAGUGGAAUUCCCAGUGUAGCGGUGAAAUGCGUAGAGAUUGGGAGGAACACCAGUGGCGAAGGCGGCUUUCUGGACAGUAACUGACGCUGAGGCGCGAAAGCGUGGGGAGCAAACAGG
rnacentral:rRNA from 2 species